UACGGAGGGUGCUAGCGUUGUUCGGAAUCACUGGGCGUAAAGGGCUCGUAGGCGGCCAACUAAGUCAGACGUGAAAUCCCUCGGCUUAACCGGGGAACUGCGUCUGAUACUGGAUGGCUUGAGAUUGGGAGAGGGAUGCGGAAUUCCAGGUGUAGCGGUGAAAUGCGUAGAUAUCUGGAGGAACACCGGUGGCGAAGGCGACAUCCUGGACCAACACUGACGCUGAGGAGCGAAAGCCAGGGGAGCAAACGGG
rnacentral:rRNA from 1 species